rnacentral:rRNA from 1 species
GAUGAACGCUGGCGGCGUGCUUAACACAUGCAAGUCGAACGGGAUCCAAGGGGUGCUUGCACUUUUUGGUGAGAGUGGCGAACGGGUGAGUAACACGUGAGUAACCUGUCCUUUUCUUUGGGAUAAGCAUUCGAAAGGGUGUUUAAUACCUUAUGUUCUGUCUGCCUCGCAUGGGGUGGGUGGUAAAGGCUUUGGCCGGAUUUGGGUGGGCUCGCGGUCUAUCAGCUUGUUGGUGGGGUGAUGGCUUACCAAGGCUUUGACGGGUAGCCGGCCUGAGAGGGUGGUCGGUCACAGUGGGACUGAGAUACGGCCAAGACUCCUGCGGGAGGCAGCAGUGGGGGAUAUUGCACAAUGGGCGAAAGCCUGAUGCAGCGACGCCGCGUGGGGGAUGAAGGCCUUCGGGUUGUAAACUUCUUUUGCUCUGAACAAGGCAUGCCAGUGGGUGUGUUGAGUGUAGGGGUUGAUUAGCGCCGGCUAACUACGUG